rnacentral:tRNA from 1 species
GGGGCUGUGCUGGAACUGGUAUACAGAAUUUGCUUAAACCAAAUCGUCUUAUGACAUGGGGAUUCGACUUCCCCCAGCCCCACCA